UACGAAGGGGGGCUAGCGUUGUUCGGAAUCACUGGGCGUAAAGCGCACGUAGGCGGAUCUUUAAGUCAGGGGUGAAAUCCCGAGGCUCAACCUCGGAACUGCCUUUGAUACUGGGGAUCUCGAGUCCGGGAGAGGUGAGUGGAACUGCGAGUGUAGAGGUGAAAUUCGUAGAUAUUCGCAAGAACACCAGUGGCGAAGGCGGCUCACUGGCUCGGUACUGACGCUGAGGUGCGAAAGCGUGGGGAGCAAACAGG
rnacentral:rRNA from 1 species